NUGAUGUACAGUCCCUUUCCACAACGUUGGAGAUGAAGCUGGGCUUUGUGUCUGCACCUGCAUAUUCCUACGACUUCUCAGAGUCUGUGGACUAUGACUGAGGAGACAAACCAUGCAGGAAACAAUA
rnacentral:snoRNA from 1 species